GAGUUUGAUCCUGGCUCAGGAUGAACGCUAGCGGCAGGCCUAACACAUGCAAGUCGAGGGGUAGAGGAAGCCUGCUUCCUUGAGACCGGCGCACGGGUGCGUAACGCGUAUGCAAUCUACCUUGUACAGAGGGAUAGCCCAGAGAAAUUUGGAUUAAUACCUCAUAGUGUUAUGAUGUGGCAUCACAUUAUAACUAAAGUUUCAACGGUACAAGAUGAGCAUGCGUCCCAUUAGCUAGUUGGUGUGGUAACGGCAUACCAAGGCAAUGAUGGGUAGGGGUCCUGAGAGGGAGAUCCCCCACACUGGUACUGAGACACGGACCAGACUCCUACGGGAGGCAGCAGUGAGGAAUAUUGGUCAAUGGGCGCAAGCCUGAACCAGCCAUGCCGCGUGCAAGAUGACGGUCCUAUGGAUUGUAAACUGCUUUUAUACAGGAAGAAACACCCCUUCGUGAAGGGACUUGACGGUACUGUAGGAAUAAGGAUCGGCUAACUCCGUGCCA
rnacentral:rRNA from 1 species